UGGGGAAUAUUGGACAAUGGGCGCAAGCCUGAUCCAGCCAUACCGCGUGGGUGAAGAAGGCCUUCGGGUUGUAAAGCCCUUUUGUUGGGAAAGAAAUCCAGCUGGUUAAUACCCGGUUGGGAUGACGGUACCCAAAGAAUAACCACCGGCUAACUUCGUGCCAGCAGCAGCGGUAAUACGAAGGGUGCAAGCGUUACUCGGAAUUACUGGGCGUAAAGCGUGCGUAGGUGGUCGGUUAAGUCUGUUGUGAAAGCCCUGGGCUCAACCUGGGAACUGCAGUGGAAACUGGACGACUAGAGUGUGGUAGAGGGAUGCGGAAUUUCUGGUGUAGCAGUGAAAUGCGUAGAGAUCAGAAGGAACAUCAGUGGCGAAGGCGGCAUCCUGGGCCAAAACUGACACUGAGGCAGGAAAGCGUGGGGAGCAAACA
rnacentral:rRNA from 1 species